rnacentral:lncRNA from 1 species
GUGUAAUCACAGGACCUCCGUCCCCAAACCAGCCCUUCAUUAGGCUGUCAUGAAGGAUAAAACUGGAGGCGAAGGAGGGGGGCAGACUGGGACGAGAUGUGGCUUUCUUCUUAUGUCAAAUGCAGUGGAGCUUUCCCUUCCCCUGCUGGCUGCCAACAUGCAAGAGUUCUGUUACUCAACUGGCGCAAAGUUCAGGGCUGCUACGUUCUGUGUCAAACCUGGAAAACGAUACUUCUCACUUACGUGUUUUCUUCAUGAAGGGACAUUUAAAAAAGUACAGCGGAGUAAGAAGAACGAGAAAGGUUAAGAAUCUUCAUACGUAGGACAAGAGAGGAGAAAACAGAUGGAGAGAACAAACCUUCCUCUGCCUGUGUCUGAAUUCUAUGCACACGAAAGAGAACUUUCAACGCAGUGGGUCCCGCUUGUGAGGGACCAUUGGAAACUCAGCUUGAGAGUAAAAAGAAGUGUUUCUGCCAUCUCGAACCCAACUGAUAUGGGUGCCUUUCAGAAGUGCAAAAAUGUGUAAAUAUACAAG